GAGUUUGAUCGUGGCUCAGAACGAACGCUGGCGGCGUGGAUAAGACAUGCAAGUCGAACGGGAGAAUUGCUAGCUUGCUAAUAAUUCUCUAGCGGCGCACGGGUGAGUAACACGUGAGUAACCUGCCCCCGAGAGCGGGAUAGCCCUGGGAAACUGGGAUUAAUACCGCAUAGUAUCGAAAGAUUAAAGCAGCAAUGCGCUUGGGGAUGGGCUCGCGGCCUAUUAGUUAGUUGGUGAGGUAACGGCUCACCAAGGCGAUGACGGGUAGCCGGUCUGAGAGGAUGUCCGGCCACACUGGAACUGAGACACGGUCCAGACACCUACGGGUGGCAGCAGUCGAGAAUCAUUCACAAUGGGGGAAACCCUGAUGGUGCGACGCCGCGUGGGGGAAUGAAGGUCUUCGGAUUGUAAACCCCUGUCAUGUGGGAGCAAAAUUAAAAAGAUAGUACCACAAGAGGAAGAGACGGCUAACUCUGUGCCAGCCGCCGCCGU
rnacentral:rRNA from 1 species